GCUUAGAAGCAGCCACUCAUUAAAAGAGUGCGUAAUAGCUCACUGGUCGAGUGACUCUGCGCGGAAAAUAUAACGGGGCUAAGCGUAACACCGAAGCUUGGGCUGCACAGCAAUGUGCGGGGUAGGGGAGCGUCGAAUAUGGGGUGAAGUCGCAGCGGAAGCAGCGGUGGACUGUAUUCGAGUGAGAAUGCCGGAAUGAGUAGCGAGAAUUAUGUGGGAAUCAUAAUGGCCGAAAAUCUAAGGUUUCCUGGGGAAGGUUCGUCCGCCCAGGGUAAGCCGGGAGCUAAGGCGAGGCCGGAAGGCGUAGUCGAUGCACAUACGGUUGAAAUUCCGUAGCCACCGAACCUUAAGUACACUGACACAUGGAGAUAGCGGGACCCGGGCGUUGGUUGACCCGGGCGUAAGGGACCGAACUUUAGUAGGGAAGUCCGCGAUGCUCUGUGGCGAGAAAAGGUGUAUGGUAUGCUAAGGUGCCCGUACCGCAAACCGACACAGGUAGAUGAGGAGAGAAUCCUAAGGCCAACGGGAGAAGGGUUGUUAAGGAACUCGGCAAAAUGACCCCGUAACUUCGGGAUAAGGGGAGCUCCCUAAGGGGAGCCGCAGAGAAUAGGCCCAAGCGACUGUUUACCAAAAACACAGGUCUAUGCUAAAUCGAAAGAUGACGUAUAUGGGCUGACGCCUGCCCGGUGCCGGAAGGUUAAGAGGAGAUGUCAGCGCAAGCGAAGCAUUGAAUUGAAGCCCCGGUAAACGGCGGCCGUAACUAUAACGGUCCUAAGGUAGCGAAAUUCCUUGUCAGGUAAGUUCUGACCCGCACGAAUGGCGUAACGACUUGGGCGCUGUCUCAACAGCCCACCCGGCGAAAUUGUUGUACUGGUGAAGAAGCCAGUUACCCGCAACUAGACGGAAAGACCCCAUGGAGCUUUACUGUAGCUUAAUACUGGAAAUCGGUAAAUCAUGUACAGGAUAGGUGGGAGACUUGGAAGCCAGGGCGUCAGCUUUGGUGGAGUCACCCUUGGGAUACCACCCUUGAUUUGCUGGUUUUCUAACCUGCGGCCGUGAAUCCGGUCGGGGGACACUGUUAGGUGGGCAGUUUGACUGGGGCGGUCGCCUCCUAAAAGGUAACGGAGGCGCUCAAAGGUUCGUUCAGCACGGACGGAAACCGUGCAGUGAGUGUAAACGCAUAAACGAGCCUAACUGCGAGACCGACGGGUCGAGCAGUAACGAAAGUUGGAGUUAGUGAUCCGGCGGUAUGUGAGUGGAAAUGCCGUCGCUCAACGGAUAAAAGCUACCCUGGGGAUAACAGGCUGAUCUCCCCCAAGAGUCCACAUCGACGGGGAGGUUUGGCACCUCGAUGUCGGCUCAUCACAUCCUGGGGCUGUAUUCGGUCCCAAGGGUUCGGCUGUUCGCCGAUUAAAGUGGCACGCGAGCUGGGUUCAGAACGUCGUGAGACAGUUCGGUCCCUAUCUGUUGCGGGCGUAAGAGAUUUGAAGGGAGCUGUCCUUAGUACGAGAGGACCGGGAUGGACGUACCUCUGGUGCACCAGUUGUCCUGCCAAGGGCAUAGCUGGGUAGCUAUGUACGGACGAGAUAAACGCUGAAGGCAUCUAAGCGUGAAACUCCCCCUAAGAUUAGAUCUCUCAUUCGAAAGAAGUAAGGCACGACGUAGACUAUGUCGUUGAUAGGCCGGAGGUGGAAGCACGGUAACGUGUGCAGCUGACCGGUACUAAUAAGCCGAGGGCUUGACCUU
rnacentral:rRNA from 1 species